rfam:Ciona savignyi cont_45489, whole genome shotgun sequence.
UACCUGGUUGAUCCUGCCAGUAGUCAUAUGCUUGUCUCAAAGAUUAAGCCAUGCAAGUCUAAGUACGAGCUCUCGUACAGUGAAACUGCGAAUGGCUCAUUAAAUCAGUUAUGGUUCAUUUGAUCGUACAGUUUACUUGGAUAACUGUGGUAAUUCUAGAGCUAAUACAUGCGAGAAGCGCCGACCUCGCGGGAGGCGUGCAUUUAUCAGACCAAAAACCGGCCGCGUCUUCGGGCGCGUUCGCCUUGGUGACUCUGGAUAACUUUGCGGAUCGCACGGUCUAGCACCGGCGACGGAUCAUUCAAGUGUCUGCCCUAUCAACUUUCGUCGGUACGGUAUUUGCCUACCGAGGUUCUUACGGGUGACGGGGAAUCAGGGUUCGAUUCCGGAGAGGGAGCCUGAGAAACGGCUACCACAUCCAAGGAAGGCAGCAGGCGCGCAAAUUACCCAUUCCCGACGCGGGGAGGUAGUGACGAAAAAUAACAAUGCAGGACUCGUUCGAGGCCCUGUAAUUGGAAUGAGUACACUUUAAAAGCUUUAACGAGUAUCCAUUGGAGGGCAAGUCUGGUGCCAGCAGCCGCGGUAAUUC